rnacentral:rRNA from 1 species
AACGAACGCUAGCGGCGUGCCUAACACAUGCAAGUCGCACGAGAAAUCCCGGGCAACUGGGAGAGUAAAGUGGCGAACGGGUGAGUAGCGCGUGGGUAAUCUACCCUGAAGUUGGGAAUAACACCUCGAAAGGGGUGCUAAUACCCAAUAACAUCCCCGAGACCCCGGUCUUGAGGAUCAAAGAUGGCUGAGGCUUGCAAGCUAUCGCUUUAGGAUGAGCCCGCGUACCAUUAGCUAGUUGGUGGGGUAAUGGCCUACCAAGGCCGUGAUGGUUAGCUGGUCUGAGAGGAUGGCCAGCCACACUGGAACUGAGAUACGGUCCAGACUCCUACGGGAGGCUG